GCCCAGGGUUUGCAGGCUGGUAUAGGGAUGGCAGGCUAGCCCAGGCUUUGGUAUUGCUACUGCUCAGAAAGGGUCUUAUAAAACAGAGGCAGGAGGGAAAAAUGCAAAAGAGCUUUUUUUUUUAACUUGUUUAUGUUUAUUUUACGUGCAUUGGUGUUUUCCCUGCAUGUAUGUCUGUGGGUAUUAGAUCUUAGAGUUCCAGACAGAUGUGAGCUACCAUGUGGGUAGAAUGGAACCCGGGUCCUCUGAUAGAGCAGUCAGUGCUACCAACCACUGAGCCAUCUCUCCAGCCCCAAGAGUUGGGGUUUAUAAAUGAAGUCCUCCAUUCUUUUGGAGGACUUUUGUUCUGUACCAGAGACAUCUGAAUCAGUGUUGGGUUUUCUGGAAGAGGGUGCAAAUGACAAGACUGAAAAUGACUUGAGGGGCUGGAGAAAGGCCAUAUGCUGCAGUGAUCAAGAACACCCGCUGUUCUUCCAGAGGACCUGCGUUUGGCUCCUAGCGCCCACCCUGGGGCGUUCAAACGCCUCUAACUUCCGCUCUAAAAGCUCUGGUGGCCUCUUUUGGCCUUCGAGGGGUCCCUGAGGACAACAGGCAUGCAUGCACACAGGAAUAAUCGCGAAGUGAGUAACGAAGCCAUGUGGAAGAAGAGAAAGCAGGGGAGCAGCCACAGUCGAAGCUAUGAUGAAACCAAUUUUCAAAAACGCCUCUAGAGAAUGUCUACCAGGGAUUCUCUGUGUAGCCUUGGCUGUCCUGGAACAUGCUGUGUAGACCAGGCUGACCUCAGACGUAAGAAAGACACUUUCUGCACAGCCAUACCCCUCAAGGCUCCCAGGGAUGGAGAAAGCUGUGAGACACACAAAGAGAAACGGUUGCUCAACUAAAAGGAAUGCUUCUGCCUGCGUCUCGGUUGAGCCCAAAGGAAGGCCUGGUUAAGCUGAAGGUGCCAGUGGGAAAUUUAACACUGCAUCUCUUGGAGCCAGAUUGCAAGUCCCUGUGGGGCACAGCUUCCCUUCGCCCCACCGCCCCACCGCUAUGAUUUCCUCUCUGAGGCAUGCCUUUCCCCCUCCAAAACGCAGGUGUGGCCCACGGGGGUCAGAGGAGGGACUCCCUCCAAGUGUGUUCUUUUGGUUAGUGCUCUAGAGACACUUUUUAAUGUCCGGGGGAUAAAGAGGACCCCACGACAAGACCUCUGUGGUUCCCGGUGACUCUGGAUAAGGAUGGCUUCUCUGUCUGCAGGGUGGCAAGAGUUAAAAUAUUCCCCAAGGUUUCACAGCUCCCUAAAACUGUCUACUGUUUUCUUCAAAGUGCUUGUCAGGGAUGCUGAUGACACCAUGCUGUGAAGGACAGAACGUUUCCAAGCAACAGAGAUAGGAUUCACCAUUUAAACACUAGCCAGCUACCAAAACUGUUUUUAACACCGAAGAGGCCAUUCCCCAUGUAUGCCUUAUGGAUACAACAUGAGACCCAUUUUGUUUGCUUGCCUUGCCAUGGCUGAUACUAGAACCACAGACAUCACACUUGCCCAGAAAGACCUCUUCCCCCAAGUAACAUCCUUAGGCUGAAAGAGGAUUCUCUGAGUGUCGCACAAAGCCAUACCGAGCGGCAGAUGGGGGCAGGCAGGACAGUGCACUCACUCUUUGGUCAGAAGGGGACAGGAUUUGAGCAGGAAGCGCGAGAGCCCGGAGUCCUGGAAGUAGAGGUCAGGAGGGGCGGUGGGGCUCUUCAGGUUCAAACAGCGAACGAUGACGUAGAGAACAGCAGCCACGGCAGCCAGUUUCACCCCAUCAAACACCGCGGGGAGCUCGGGGGUCUCCAGCAUGGCAUUCAUCUUGAUCUGGAAAGCAAAGGCGCAGGCCUGGGCUCACACACGUGGCCAGGGCCAGGAGGGCGGACAGCCCAUCCUGCUGCACAGGCAGGACCCACUCUGGAUAUGCUCUGCACAUGGCCACAGGGUACUCCAAGGACCCCCACCAUCGCCAGACAGCACCAACACCCGGCCAACAGCCCUCGCCACAAAAACAGUUGCAAAUGCUCGCUAAGGAGGGUGCCGUGUUCUUCCUGUAAUCUCACGAGCAGUUCAGAGGACGUACCUAAAUGCAGCUAUUGGUCAAAAACUGGGCCAAGGGCAGACCAAAAUUCAACCAUAAGACCAAAAUUAAAAAUUGCAAUACAGAAAAUAUAUAUGCUAUCUAAUUUCCCACAAACUGUCUUAAUUUUCACUUUUAGAGAACAUCAGCUGUGGCCUUAAGAAUUAGGCUAACAACACCAACCAAGGACCAUGCAUGGAGAGGCCCUGACCCCUGCUCAGAUGUAACUGAUUACCAGCUCAGUCUCCAUGUGGAUUCCCAAGGAUUUCAAGUAGCCGCUGCUAAAAACAGUUAGGAGAACUCUGAUAGCCAACGAUGGAGACAAAACAGGUGAAGAAAAAUCUCCAAAAUGUGUAUAAUAGACUGAGGACUUCUAAGACCUAGAACAAAUCCGGAGGGGCCCUGAAGACUCCUCUAAAACCAAGACAUGGUCUCUCUGUAUAGUCCUGGCUGUCCUGAAACUCGCUUUGCUGAACAAAACGACCAUGAACUCACAGACGUGCCUCCCAAGUGCUGGGAUUAAAGAUGUGAGCCACCAUGCCCGGCCCUGAAACUGUGUUUUAAAAAGAAAAGCAGAAAUGCAAAGUCUACCAGAGUGUCCCAAAGUUUCUCUGAUUAUGUGCUGGCGAAAUGUAAAUAAAGUUGAAAUCUUU